rnacentral:rRNA from 1 species
CAAUAGCGUAUAUUUAAGUUGUUGCAGUUAAAAAGCUCGUAGUUGGAUUUCGGAUGGGAUUUGCCGGUCCGUCGUUACGAUGUGCACUGGCCAGUCCUAUCUUGUUGUCGGGGACUAGCUCCUUGGAUUCACUUCCUGGGACUAGGAGCUGACGAGGUUACUUUGAGUAAAUUAGAGUGUUCAAAGCAAGCCUACGCUCUGAAUACAUUAGCAUGGAAUAACACGAUAGGACUCUGGCUUAUCUUGUUGGUCUGUGAGACCAGAGUAAUGAUUAAGAGGGACAGUCGGGGACAUUCGUAUUUCAUUGUCAGAGGUGAAAUUCUUGGAUUUACGGAAGACGAACAUCUGCGAAAGCAUUUGCCAAGGAUGUUUUCAUUNA